rnacentral:lncRNA from 1 species
UUUAGUUCGAAAGUCUAUUUAAACCUAAAUUUCACCGUCAGUAAAAUCUAAAAGUUUUGAAGGCAAUAAGAUAAAAAGAUAUUUCAUUUAAAUUCAGUUCGACUAGUUGGUUCGUGAAUCAAUAUUUUUAACAGGGACGAAUCAAUUUGGAUGACUAAAAUAUUAUGUUGAAUCGUUCAAACCACAGUUCGACCAAUAAAUGGAAGAACUGUUCUGGUAUUUGCGGAAUUGGCCAGAUGGUUUUUGUUUUUUCCUUGUAGAUUUUUGGUUGGAUGGUCCAAAUAUUAGGAGCUUGAUUGGUUCUUUCAUUUUAGACUAUAAAAUCGAUAUGGAAUUCAUUGAUUCCGACAAAUGUUAUUUACUUUACAAAAAUCAGAUUUUGACUUCGGUUCCACCCUAAAAUUGGAAUCGCCCAAUCCAUUUAUGGCCCAGUCUGGCUUUGAAUUUCGAAUCGGCCCCGUCCAAAAUUAAUACCACUCAAAUCCUUCUCUCAUAUAUACUACCUACUCCUUUUCCUUCAUCACUCUCCUCUCUUUUAACCAAAUUCCUCUCGCAUAAAUUUAAAUUUUCAUUCACAUUUCUAUUCCAAUAAUGAGUUAAUCAAACAUUUUUCACUGACGCGUCAUUUUAUUUUUCAUUCUAACGCAAUCCAUUUUUUUUUUAUAACUAUUCUCAUCAUGAACCAAACAUGCAUGCUUUGAGAGAAUGAGUUUUGAAAAGUUACCCUGAUAAAAUUUUCAUUUCUUUUACAUUUUAUUAUUUUAUAAUAAAUUGGAAAUAUAUUUUGACUUAUUUUAAUAUAUUAAACUAACAAUUAAUAGUUUAUGACACUCUGCUUGUCAAAGAAUAUGGUUAUUUUUUGAAUUACUUUCCAUGUAUAGAAUUUCCAUAUAUUGUAUUUCCAUUCUUUUGUUAAUUGUAUAUUAUAAAUCAAG